GUCCCACUCAAAAUUGGCAGUCCUUUGGGUUACUUGGUAAAUGGAUCAGAGCAGGACCACAAUGUGCUACACGUUGCCUCUGAAAUUCAUACUCCUACAAGUGUGCUUCCUAAUGGUCCUAUUGCUACGAUGUCAUCAUUGAAGAAGCAGGCAUCUUGUAUGAGUGACCUCACUGCCCAGUGUAACUGGUUGUAGAGAAGUCUCAGUGGAAGGCUGGCCAGACCACCAGCCAGCAAUGGUGGUGCCUGUGGUUGGGCUCCAGUAUCCAGAACUAUGGUUAUAGUUCCAUUGCCACCACCUCAGAGAAGCCUUCCUUGACCACCUCAACAAAGCAGCACUCCCCUAUCAGAGUGAGCCAUAAGGGAGACUCGGGAGAGAUCUGGAGGGCAGAGGGAAGCAGCAGCGUUUUGUGGUUCACACACAGUGUGGUGAUCUGCCGAUUCACCACCUUGGAGGUGAGGCAGCAGCUGGACCUGCAACGUCUCUACCUUCGCCCGGAUCCUCCUCCAGCUUCUCCAUCUCUUGGGUCCCCUGCAUGUAUUUUGCUCUCUGACAAAGGGCCCUGGCUUCUGCAUGACACCCACAUCAGCAAGACUGGAAGCAGUGAAAACUGAUGUGGGUUCCAUCCCAUCCCUGUGGGGUGCUAGCUCUGUGGGGUGAAGCAGGCUUCAGCCUGCUCCUGAUCUCCCCACUUACAUCCAUCUUCCCUUCCCCAUUGCCUGCCAGCAUUUCUGUAAAAGAGAUUCCCUAGAAGGAGAAUUGCUAGGUCAAAGGGGAUGCAUAUUUAAAAAUUUAACAAACUGACAAAUUGCCCUUCAGAAAGACUCUACCAACUUG
rnacentral:lncRNA from 1 species